rnacentral:lncRNA from 1 species
UUUUUUCCUUGUAAACUCAUAAUCGAACCAAUCCACCCCCACAACCGCAUAAGCCGCCACCUGACCAAUCUGAUGCCAUAAACAGUCAGGAUUGGUUUUGAUAUAUUGCUCUACCCUAGCUGCGAAUGUUAAUUGAUCAGGUAAUAUUCUUUUCUAAUAUUUUAAGUGGCAUUUCGAGAUAGUUUCACAUAAUAUAUUUAAUAUAUGCUUAAACCAAAUAUAAAAUUAUUUAGUUUGUUUAUUUAUUUAUUUAUUUUUAAACUCAACUUAACCGUAAUAAAACUAGGUUUUUUGUGCAUUUGAUCCCUGACAUUUUGGGUGAUUUUUGGUUUACUCUCUUGUUUUUUCUUUUCUUUUCAGUAAUGUCUGUAUAAUUUUAGAUUUUAAUUGUUUUAAUUCUAACUAGCUUAUUUUCCCGACAUUUUCCAGGUUAUAUAGAACUUAUUAUUAUUUUCUUUGAGUUAUAUGUAUGAUAUUCAUUGGGAUUUAACCCCUCCAAUAGUCAGUCCUUGAACUAGAUACAAUGUUUUGGAAACAAAUUAUUAUAUUCAUUAAAAAUUCCAUAUCUCAUAAAUAAUAAAAGAAAAAGGAUUACUCAUAUUAUAACCCACAAUUCAUUAAAUGAAUUAUCACCAUCUACUUAAAAUAUAAAAUCAAUAAAUUAUAGUUGUGUAAGUUGAAAUAUUAAAACACAAUCACAAAUCUUAGGCUCCAUGGUUUGCCGACAACGCCAAAAUUACCAUCGGAGGUGGAAAAGUUAUACCCUCUUUGACACGGAUGCUUUCUUUAACAUCGAUGAUUUCAUCAAUUUUGACGCCAGGGGUGACAACAAUUUUGUUCUUACCCUUUUUUUCUUCAAUAGCCUUUUUAUAAAUUGAUGAUAAUGCUGGAUUUGGUUCAAUUUAUGUUGGCUAUAAAAGUGUGGUACUAGAUAUGAUAAACCGUCAAUGUGAUGUAGUAUGAAAGGUUUAAUAGAUUUUUUCUCACGUUACUCAGAAUCUAAAAUGCUUUUCACCAAAUCCUAUAGUUACUUGUUGUUCAUGAAGAUGGUGAAUAUUUGAUUAUGAAUACAAAUUUGAGACAGAUAAAUUGUAGAGGUAAAUGAAAAGUCAAAAUAUAUCAAGCCUUGAACCUACAGGUACAUAUAUAUAACUAUAUCAGAAACUACGACAUUUAAUUUUAUCUAUUUCCGAUGCGUAUAAUAAAAAUUUAAUUUAAUCUAUUUGAAAAAUAAAUAAAUAAAAUUCAAAUCCAAAUUUUAGAAUUAAAAUAAUAUAAUAAAUUAAUUAAUAUUAAGAUAUAAUUUUUAAAUAUAAAUAUAAUAUUUUAAAGUUGAACGAUUUUAUUACCUUUUGCCUUUAGUGUCUCGGGAAAGUAAAUUCUUUGCACAAUAUUUGUUUGACCAGAUUAUAUAUUUUAUCAGGUUUUAUAAAGUAUUUUUCAUUACAAGAAAUAAAAUAAUAUUCAUUUCUUUUGAAUUUGGAAAUGGAUAACGUUAUAUACCUACAAAAAGUUAUUAAACAAUUUGGAUAUAAGUAUAUACGCACAUAUAUUCAAAUUAUACUGAUAUCCAAAUUCAAAUGAAAUUAUUUUAUUUUUGGUAAUAAAAAAUAAUUUAUUAAACCUGAUAACGCACAUAAUUUGGUCAAACAAAUAAUGUGCAGAGAAUUUACUUUUUCGAAACACUAAAGGCGAAAAGUAAUAAAAUCCACCAACUUUAAAAUAUUAUCUUUACAUUUGAGAAUUAUAUCUUUAUAUUCAUCUAUUUAUUAUGUUAUUAUAAUUCUAAAAUUUGGAUUUGAAUUUUAUUUCUUUAUUUUGCGAAUAAAUUAAAUUUUCAUUAUAAGCAUCGAAAGUAGAUAAAAUAAAAUGUCGUAGUUUCUGAUUGAUAUAUAUAUAUAUAUAUAUAUAUAUAUAUAUAUAUAUAUAUAUAUAUAUAUAUAUAUGUACCUGUUGGUUCAAGGCAUGAUAUAUUUUGAUUCUUCAUUACCUCUACGAUUUCUCUGUCUUAAAUUUGUAUUCAUCCUUAAAUAUUCACCAUCAUCAUGAAGAACAACAAACAACUAUGGAAUUUGGUGAAACACAUUUCAGAUUUUAAGUUACGUGAGAAGAAAUAUACUGAACCUUUCAUAUCGCAUCACAUUGACGGGUUACUAUCAUAUUUAGCUCCACACUUGUAUAGCCAACAUAAAUUGAAACAAAUUAACCAUUAUCAUCAAUCUAUAAAAAGGCUAUUGAAGAAAGAAAAAAAAUGGUCAAAAGCAAAUUGUUGUCACGCCUGAAAUCAAAAUUGAUAAAAUCAUUGAAGUCAAAGAAAGCUUAUGUGUCAAAGAGGGCAUCAACUUUGCCACCUUCGAUGGUGAUUUUGGCUUUGCCGACAAGCCAUGGAGCCUAAGAUUUGUGAUUGUGUUUUCGAGGUUCACGCACACACAAAUACACACAUCUAAUUUAAUUUUAAUCCAAUAACUAUUUAAAAUUUUCUCUACCAAUUUAUCAUUCAAACAAUGAAUUAUCUAUUGUAAAAAAAAAUUGGUUACAAAAUGUUUAGGUGAGCUUUGGAUGCUCACAGGGUCAGGGCCUCAAGCUCAAAAAACAUUUACAAAAGUAUUACGUAUCAUCCACCAAAGAUGUCCUAUCAUCGAUAAUGGCAAUUUAACUGACGACUAUAUAUAUAACACCCCGAAUUAUGAAUAUUAAUAUAUUAAUUAGUAUUAUUAUUAGAAAAUAGUAGUAUUAUUAUUAGUAUUGGUUUGUUUUAUAUUAUUAAUUUAAUUAUUCAUAUUUGUUCGGAAAAUAGGUAAUGAGGAAAUAGAUAGGUUAAUUGGUGGGUUAGAGUGAAGGAAAAUAAGUUUUAGGAAGAAAAUAACAUUUUUGGCGAGAAUAAUGAAGUAGGGUGCAAACAGUAGUGCAUUUUUUGCAACUCUCCAUAGCACCGAUCUCUUCUUCAUUGCUGAUUGCUUCCCUUUGCUCGAAGAACUCGAUCUUAGUGAUCCCGGAGAGUUCAUCUACCACAGUAGUUUACACGAUGGU